rnacentral:rRNA from 1 species
GCUGGCGGCGUGCCUAACACAUGCAAGUCGAGCGGAGACAUGAGGGAGCUUGCUCCCGAGUGUUUUAGCGGCGGACGGGUGAGUAACGCGUGAGCAACCUUUCUCUCAGUGGGGAAUAACACAGGGAAACCUGUACUAAUACCGCAUGAGACCACAAUGCCGCAUGGCAUAGGGGUCAAAGAUUUAUUGCUGAGAGGUGGCUCGCGUCCGAUUAGAUAGUUGGUGAGGUAACGGCUCACCAAGUCGACGAUCGGUAGCCGACCUGAGAGGGUGAUCGGCCACAUUGGGACUGAGACACGGCCCAAACUCCUACGGGAGGCAGCAGUGGGGAAUAUUGGGCAAUGGGCGAAAGCCUGACCCAGCAACGCCGCGUGAAGGAAGAAGGUCUUCGGAUCGUAAACUUCUGUCCUAAGUGAAGAGAAGAAGACGGUGGCUUAGGAGGAAGCCCCGGCUAACUACGUGCCAGCAGCCGCGGUAAUACGUAGGGGGCAAGCGUUGUCCGGAAUGAUUGGGCGUAAAGGGCGCGUAGGCGGCCUGUUAAGUCUGGAGUGAAAGUCCUGCCUUCAAGGUGGGAAUUGCUUUGGAUACUGAUGGGCUUGAGUGCAGGAGAGGUUAGUGGAAUUCCCAGUGUAGCGGUGAAAUGCGUAGAGAUUGGGAGGAACACCAGUGGCGAAGGCGACUAACUGGACUGUAACUGACGCUGAGGCGCGAAAGUGUGGGGAGCAAACAGGAUUAGAUACCCUGGUAGUCCACACUGUAAACGAUGAAUGCUAGGUGUAGGGGGUAUCGACCCCUUCUGUGCCGGAGUUAACACAAUAAGCAUCUCGCCUGGGGAGUACGGCCGCAAGGUUGAAACUCAAAUGAAUUGACGG